rnacentral:tRNA from 1 species
ACUGGGGUGGAGAAGCGGUAUCUCGUUAGUUUCAUAAGCUAAAGUUCGACAGUUCAAUCCUGUCCCCCAGAA